AAAACAAAAUGGGUGGCAUUAAUAAAUCCUCAUUGCAAUCAAUUAAAAAAGGAAAAUCCAGAAGGCCCUGGUCAAAGACUGAGGGAGACAUUGUUGAAAGCCAUUUCAAAGACUUCCUGAAAGAAAUGAAGAUGCCUGGAAAAGUGCACUGUCAGAGAUGCAUAGAUGAAAAUCAGAUUCUAAGGGAUAAUGACGGAGACUGGAAAGCUGUAAAAUACUGUAUGUACAACAAGAAAACAGCAAAGAGAAACAGGUUCCAAAAGUACUGAGAAUUAUACUGGACAUUUUGAGCAUCAAUGCUAGGAACCCAAAAAACCUACAUGUAUACCAAAGUACACAGAUACAAUUAAAAAAAAAAUAUUGACAUCAA